rnacentral:rRNA from 1 species
UACGUAGGGCGCGAGCGUUGUCCGGAAUUAUUGGGCGUAAAGAGCUCGUAGGCGGCCUGUCGCGUCCGCUGUGAAAUCCCGGGGCUUAACCCCGGGCCUGCAGUGGAUACGGGCAGGCUGGAGGCAGGCAGGGGAGAACGGAAUUCCCGGUGUAGCGGUGAAAUGCGCAGAUAUCAGGAGGAACACCAGUGGCGAAGGCGGCUUCCUGGACACCAACUGACGCUGAGACGCGAAAGCGUGGGGAGCAAACAGG